ensembl:rRNA 5S_rRNA 5S ribosomal RNA
GCUGGCAGCUAAGCAGGGUUGAGCCUGAUCAGUACCUGGAUGGGAGACCUCCUGGGAAAACUAGGUUGCUGCUGGAA